GACAGAGGGUGCGAACGUUGUUCGGAAUUACUGGGCGUAAAGCGCGUGUAGGCUGUUCGGCAAGUCGGGUGUGAAAGCCCUGGGCUCAACCUAGGAAGUGCACUCGAAACUCCCGAACUGGAGUCCCGGAGAGGAAGGUGGAAUUCUCGGUGUAGAGGUGAAAUUCGUAGAUAUCGAGAGGAACAUCGGUGGCGAAGGCGGCCUUCUGGACGGUGACUGACGCUGAGACGCGAAAGCGUGGGGAGCAAACAGG
rnacentral:rRNA from 1 species